UACGGAGGGAGCUAGCGUUGUUCGGAAUUACUGGGCGUAAAGCGCGCGUAGGCGGCUUUGUAAGUUAGAGGUGAAAGCCCGGGGCUCAACCCCGGAACUGCCUUUAAGACUGCAUCGCUUGAAUCCGGAAGAGGUGAGUGGAACUCCUAGUGUAGAGGUGGAAUUCGUAGAUAUUAGGAAGAACACCAGUGGCGAAGGCGGCUCACUGGUCCGGUACUGACGCUGAGGUGCGAAAGCGUGGGGAGCAAACAGG
rnacentral:rRNA from 1 species